GUCACUGCGGUGGGAUGGGACGAGCACUGCUAUGGCAAAGCAACUGGGGGAGAAGGAGGAAAUCAAGCUGUUGCUGCUGCACAGCAUUUAUCUGACAGAGAGACGCUGAGGCAUCGCUGUCAGCUAACCAGUCUGAUGGUGGUAGAUCACAGGUCAGGGCUGUUGCCAGGAAGGUUGGUGACGUUAUUCAGAGGCUGCUGAUAUCCAGAGUCCAGCGAGAGGGUGCUCAUUGCCUGAAAAAUUACAUCACUUAUUUGGAGUCUAAAUACCACGUGCGGCUGAAGAGCUGCGUACCGAGGUUUGAAAACACUGUCCUUACGCUUGUUGCAAGGCGACGGUGCGCUUUUAGUCAUCCUGGGACAGGAUACUCGGUUAGGGAACGUGGCGGUGACAGUUUGCACUAGCUGAGGAUCUGCUGGCUGCGUUCGUGCUUUGCAUGCGCCGUUGGGAUCGUGUUGUAUUUGAACCGUGUUAUUUAGGAGUUUGAGCACGAGUACGUGAUGGCGGGUUGGUUGGGGGGGGGGGGGUGCUGUUCAUACUGCAUAGGAAAAGUCCGCUAAAGAAAACGUGACUACUGGUUAGUGCUUGGAUUGGUCUCCAAAACAUAGUAUUUAGCUUGCAAAGCUUUCAUUGGAAAAAAUACACCCAGCGCACACACUAAAUGAGGCGAGAUGCAGGAAGAUCAUUGUGUAGUGUAGUGUGUAGUGGGUUAGUCAAUUAGCAUGGCAAACUUGUGCUGCAGGAUGCAGUGUAUGGAAGCUGAUGCAUGGCCAUUUUGGCACGCCCCCAGUGUGACCUUCAGCAUGAAGAAAAAAAAUUAUCUGUGUCUGGACUGCUCUAAUAGUAUUGAAAAGAUGCCUUUGCUCGUCAGAGGACUAUACAGUAGACUGCUGCUGUGGGCUGAGGAGAUCCAAACCCAAGGAGAAAAAAACAUAUGA
rnacentral:lncRNA from 1 species